AAAAGUGUUGUUCACGGUUAAUCUGAAGUGUUGAGAUUCACAACUUAUUGAAAGAACAACUGAAAAUCAAUUUAGGUUGCAUAUGUGUCAUGUGUAGAGAAGAACCCUCUAGCUAAUCCAUCACCUAUCAUUUCACCUUAAUUUCAUGUUUUUGUCAAUUCUGUAAUUUAUUUAAGUUUAAUUUACUUCUCGUCAAAACCAAACCCCCCAUUAUUAAAUUAUUUUAUUUAGUUAGUUUUCAUUGUUGUUAGUCUUUUAAUUCAAUUUCCGUCCAUUGCAGUUCCUAGUGUCUAAUUUGAUUGUUUUCAUUAUUUUGAGUCAUCCUAAGUGUGUUUCGAGUUAUUAGAGUUUUUAGCCUAGUUUUGUGUCCUUGAGUCUUAUUUAAUAUUUUUAAAUUAAUUUAGAAUAGAUUAGCAAUCCCUCCUAAUCCCCGGCCUAGAACGAUACCCUACUUACAUCCAUACUACAAUUGUCAAAAAGAGGGUUUAAUUUGUGUGUCAAGAAAUUCUCACAUCAAAUUUUGGCGCCGUUGCCGGGGAUUAGCAACUUUGCUAAUCCUUUUAUUUUUGUUUUUGUUUAUGUUUAUAUUGGUGUUUGUGUAUUUUACUUUUGAUAUUUGAUUUAUUUUUCUUUCUUUGAUUUUAGGUUCAAAUGGAGCCGAGGGAAAUUUAAAGGAAAGAUGCGUCCGGCUAAAGACGUUAAAUCAAGCGCUUCUUGGGAGGCAACCCAAGCAUUCAACGAAGGGAGACUUUGGAAUCACUAACCCAAUCAGCUUUGCAUUCUUCCACCCUUAUCUUUACUGCUUUCAUUUUGUUUUGUUUAGUUAGUUGUGUUAUUUGGUUGAUUUCUGUGAGUUUGUGUUUGUGUUAUUUAGUUUAAGUGUGGGGGAAGGUUAACCAAAGUCUCUUUACAUUAAUUUACAUUUAAAAAGAAAAAAAAAGAUAAAAUUUAAAAUUAAUGAUAAAAAAAAAAAUACAUAAAAAAAAAAAUACAUAAAAAAAAAUAAAAAUUUAAAAAAAAAAAUUUAAAAAUUAAAAAAAAUAAAAUAAAAUAAAAUAAAAUAAAAAAAUACAAAUAUUUUACAAUGAUGUAAACUAAUAGUAUUCAUUGGUCGGGUGGUGCUUCAGUAGUAGGCGGGGCUUCAGCAGUCGGCGGGGCCACAGAAGGAGGAGGCAGCAGAGGUUGAUCAGUUGGAGCUUCACUACGCGGUGCCGCUCCAGAAGACGAAGGCAGAUGCGGUUGGAACAAACCCACAAACCUCCGAUGAUCAAGUAAAAUUUGACCAUCGGUGUCCUGCAUCUGGUCAAUCUUUCUCUUCAUGCUGGUGGCAUAAUUGUGUGCAAGCUUGUGCAAUUGUUUAUUUUCAUGCUUGAGUCCUCUAAUCUCCUCUUUGAGACUCUGUAUUUCAGCCACCAACGAUUCAACGUGACGGGUUCGAGCAAAUAGGCGUUGGGCCAUGUUGGACACGGAACCGGCACACUGCACGCUAAGAGCCAGAGACUCCUUAACCACCAAUUCAUCAGACCGUCUAGCGAGCAGUCUGUUAUCUCUUGGGGUGACAAGGUUCCGGGCCACCACCGCAGCAGUCAUGUCAUUUUUCAUAACCGAAUCCCCCACGGUAAGAGGACCGGUAGGGGAUAUGAAGGAUGGGCGCCAUAUAUUGUCUGGUGAAGGCGGAGCUGCCUCUUCACCAAUGUUCAAGUCAAAACGACGAUCGGAAGGGCCAGACAUUUUUCAGAGGUGGUGAAGAAAGAAGAGAGUCGGAAUGAUCAAGAUUAAACAAGUGCAAGAAGGGAGUGUUUACAGGAGGGUGCUCAAGUGUGUUGUGGAACAAGCUUAACGCCUCUAUAAAAAGAAGAAAUCGGAGAGGCGCUCCUCAGAGAAGCGUCCUCUCGCAAAUCGAAGAGUCGGGGCUCCUUUCUCAAAAGCCGGAUUCUUUUCUCAAAAGAGGCGUUUCAUUUCUUAAAGGCUGGGCUUGCUCAGAAACCACGAGCCGAACCCCGGAUUUCAAAAGAUUAAUUUGUCCAGACGUGUCGUCACUUGUCACACGUAAAUUGCUUUGCGAAAUUCUCGGGCAGUUUGUCGAAGCACCAAUUCAGAAAUCGAAGAGGGAAAUUCAACAGUCAAAGACACGCUAGCUUUCUCAAAAGCUGGGCUUCAACCCACGGGCAAAUCUUCUUUUCCAGAUUUAUCCGCACGUGUCACAUGCUACCUCUACAAUCGACGUUGCUCAGAGCUCGAAGCGCCGAUUCCAGAUAUCAAUGAGGAAUCUGCUUUGCGGAAAUUACGGGCAGCUUUGUCAGAAAAGCGCGUAAUUUGUACUAUUCAUCCAUCCACCGGCUGCCGACAAUGAGUGAGAGAAUAGUUUCGGUUGUGAAGAAAAGUUCCAUAAGUAUCUACCUUCGCCUUCCACAGCAAAGACACAACCUCUCAGCACUUCUUCAUCUCCGAAAAUGCAUUCCCAAAGAAUCCUCCUAAGUUACUCUGUGUUCCUCAUUCCUUGGGAUACUCCUGCGAACAACCCAUUCAAAGCAAAAGUAUUUCAUAUCAUGAAGGUUGAAAGCAAGAGUAUCUCAUAUCAUGCUUUCUCCCUGUCCUUUCUCCAGCCAGCACCUGCUCUCGAGUACUCAUCAUCUUAUGUUUCCGCUUCGUCUCUCACGUAUAAGGGAAGUGAAGAUGAUUCCUCGAAGCAUGUGGAGACAACGUGCUGAUUCAUCCUCAACUAGGGACAAGGAGAAAGAGAGCAAGAGGUGGGCACUUGGAAAGAUUGAAGAAAGAAACAGACCAACACCUCUCCCUCGUGCCUGCCCGCCGUGCUGAAGAAACAAGCAGAGAAGAAUGCAGCUCGUACAAUCAACCCAGCACAAGGAGUCCGAACUGAAGAACUAGAGAAGCUGCCACAUUUGCUUGGAGAACAAAUUAGGAACUGCAACAUAACCAAAGAGCAAAGCUUCGCCGUACAAUAUCAUAAAAUCAUCACUUGCAAGUGAAAAGCUAAGUGUCACCCUGUUCAAGAGGAAAGCUGUGGAAAGUCAACAAGCACGACCAAUGAUUACUUAUUAGUUUUAUUCAUUAUCUUUUAUCGUAAUUUUCAAUUUUUCGUUUGCAAUUUUUUUUUAAUUAAUUUUCUUGCGUACUUAACUGAAUUAUUUCUUUUCUUUGCAGGAACUUUUGGUUAUUUCCACCCUUGAAGUUGAUUGCAGAAUUUUAGCUUGGGGGUCAUCGCUUGAUUUUACUGCAAAUUAGGGAAGUUUUCAGUCCAAUUGCGUUAUUUUGUUUCUUAUUAUUUAUUUAUUUUAUUUUAUUUUUUUUUAUUUGCAUUAUAGUGUUUUCUGACAUUGGGGACAAUGUCAAGUUUAAGUGUGGGGGUAGAAAUCUCCAGAAUUUCAUUUGUCUCUGUGUUGUUGUUUUUUUGUGUUCUUAAUUAGUUUUGUUUUCUUUUAAAAAAAAAUUUAAAUUAAAAAAAAAUCGGAAAAUUUAAAAAUCCAAAAAUAUUGUCUUGUUUCCCUUAUUGUUUUGAAUUAGAUUUUUGUUAGUUUCCCGACCCAAUGAUAUAAUUGGAUCAAAUUUGAACCAUGAUCAUCAAGAACUUAGUUAACAUGUGUUUGGUGAAAUUCCUAAUUCUCUUGUUAGUUUUGUACAUGUUUGAUCAUCUUUGAAAAACCAAAUGCACAUAGCCUUGUUAAUGUGAAACUAAAGUAUGACUUAAAGCUUCAUAUGUGAAUUUAGUGACCAUAUACAUCCUAUGUGAGUUUUUGAGCCUAUUGAAAGUGUGUGCAUUUUUCAUAUACUCCUAUUCUUUCAUGUGUGAUGAACUUAUGUGAGAUACAUCUCUAGAACUUGCGUAACGAUCUUUCAAAAUGUUUGUCAUUGAUUGCAUAAACUUGGAAAUGAUAGAGGCAUUAGGUUUACCACCAUGGCCCAAAUAACCAUGUUUCCCAAAGAAAAAUGAUAUCAUUAGAUUGCCAAUUUGAGCCGUGUAUGUUGAGUCUUUUAUUUCUUAUCACCAGAUAUGUCUACCCUUAUACCUGAAACAUUUUUCCUUACCCUUUCCAAGCGAGCAAUGCGAGAUUGUCUUAUGAGAAAUGUUUGUGAAGUACUUUGAAGGUGUUUGGCAAAAGAAUAAGUGUGGGGGUAUUUCAUGUUUGUAUUAAAAAAAAAAAAAAAAAAAAAAAAAAAAAAAAAAAAAAAAAAAGAAAGAUUGUAUACGAAGAAAAUAAAAAGUUUUUAAAGUUUCAGUUUAAGGGUGUGAUUGGAGGUAUUAGAAGAAUUGUUGGAGAGCUUGAGUUCUUAUAAAUCUAAAGAAAAGAAUUGCUUACAAUGUAGCUUGGAACUUGUGUUUACCUAUUCUUUCAUUUCAAUAACCCUCUUCCUAAACCUCAUUACAUCCAAUAAAAGUCCUCUUGAUUUAAGUUUUGCAAUUAUGAUUGUGGAGAUGAGAUCUUUAUGCAAGCUUAUGGUAGAAAUUUCACAUUUGAUUCUUUGAGCGAAACACAUUAAAACUAAACACAUAUGUGAUUGAGUGUAUAUCCCGUGAGAAUGUUACUAGUUUGCAUAUGAUGAUUUUUAAAAAUAAAAACUUGAAAUUGCAUUAGCAUGGCUAUCUCACACACUACACUUCAAGGAUGAUUCAAAGAUUACUGCUAAUAUUUGAAUAAGGAGGAUGAACUUGGAUUAACUUGUUUGGUGCUAGCUAUGUUUCUUGAUGAUUUGUUUUCUUGAAUGAAAUUCUAUGAGGGUCACAUAGAGGGAAGCUAAUGUUUUUCAUGUUAUUACUUUUUCAUGUUUUCUUUGUUUUGCUCGAGGACUAGCAAAAGUUAAGUGUGGGGGUAUUUGAUCGGAUCAUAUUUAUAUAUAUUUUUACUUCGAAUUCACUCGUCUUUUCUUAGUUAGUUCCUUAUAUUUUUGAGCUAUUUACGUUAUUUUUGUGUUUAUAGGAUUUGUUAUGCAAAGAAAAUAAAAAUAGAACAAAUGAAAUUUUAUGUAAUAAAUUCGUCAAAACUGUCUGUGUAGAUCAGCUUUUAAAUUAAAUUAAAAAAAAAUAUAUAAUAAUGAUAAAUCAUGAUGAUGUUUGAAACAUCAUCAUGAUGGUUUUGUUUUGUAGAAGAAAAGAAAGGAACGGAUGGAGAAGAAGAAAAGAAAGGAAUAAAAAAAGAAAAGAAGGAAUAAAAAAAAUUAAAAGAAGAAUAAGUGAGUCCACACAUGAGGGAUCCAAAGAAAGAUAUACGAAAGAAGAAGAAAAAGGAGAAUCCAAGGCGUGAAAGGGAUAGAGGCGGGAGACAGAGAAGACUUGAAAAAGUGGGAAAUAAAAUAAUAAGAUAGAGAGGAGAAAGCAGCUGGCAGAGACGAAAUUGGGGGGGGGGGGGAGAGAUGGAGCUGCCUUUGGCAGCACGGGGUCAGAGAGGAUAGAGAUACGUGAGGGAAGCAAAUAAGAAAGAAGAAAGAAAAAAAGGUGAGGGACUGACAGAAAAGCAGAGGGCUGCCCUUUGGGCAGCGUGAGGCUGCGCAGAAAUAAAAGGGACAGUGCGGCAUGGCAGGAGAGAAGUGACGCAGGGAGUGAGGGCAGAAGCACAGAAACGCAGCAGAUCUUAUUCUCUCGGUUAAAUCUUUCCAACUUAUGAUUAAUUUUUGGUUUAAUUUUAGAAUAAUGUGUAGCUAAAUUUAUUUUGGCUAGAGGUUAAUUCAAAGCCAUGAAUAUAUUUGUAAUAUGAAUUGAUUACCUUCAGUUGUGAUUUCUGAGUUGUGAUUUAAUUUGCUUAACUGCUUGAUUGAUAACUUAUUUUUGUAUGUCGAUUAAGGAUGCAUACUUAAUUUACAUGCAUGAAUUUGAUGCUAGAAUAUAAGUGAAUUUCACCUAAUCGUUAUGAACUUAUAUUCACAAGUAGUGAAGGUUGUUAUCCACAAUCGUGUUAAGUGAAUUCUUGGCAAGGGUAUCAUGCUUUUCAUAGUUACGAAUGCCUCGUCAAUGCUUAUAGUUUUCACAAAGUUUAAUGAUCUUUGAUUGUAUCUCUAUUGUGCUUUUCACGUAGGGGACUUUUGAAGAAUGUUUUGAAUUGUUGUAUGCGUUUUCCCGUCCAAUUCAAUAACUUAAGGAAAACUUGAAGAUUAAAAAAGUGCUGUUCACGGUUAAUCUGAAGUGUUGAGAUUCACAACUUAUUGAAAGAACAACUGAAAAUCAAUUUAGGUUGCAUAUGUGUCAUGUGUAGAGAAGAACCCUCUAGCUAAUCCAUCACCUAUCAUUUCACCUUAAUUUCAUGUUUUUGUCAAUUCUGUAAUUUAUUUAAGUUUAAUUUACUUCUCGUCAAAACCAAACCCCCCAUUAUUAAAUUAUUUUAUUUAGUUAGUUUUCAUUGUUGUUAGUCUUUUAAUUCAAUUUCCGUCCAUUGCAGUUCCUAGUGUCUAAUUUGAUUGUUUU
rnacentral:lncRNA from 1 species